rnacentral:rRNA from 1 species
GACGAACGCUGGCGGCGUGCCUAAUACAUGCAAGUUGAGCGCUGAAGGUUGGUACUUGUACCGACUGGAUGAGCAGCGAACGGGUGAGUAACGCGUGGGGAAUCUGCCUUUGAGCGGGGGACAACAUUUGGAAACGAAUGCUAAUACCGCAUAAAAACUUUAAACACAAGUUUUAAGUUUGAAAGAUGCAAUUGCAUCACUCAAAGAUGAUCCCGCGUUGUAUUAGCUAGUUGGUGAGGUAAAGGCUCACCAAGGCGAUGAUAUAUAGCCGACCUGAGAGGGUGAUCGGCCACAUUGGGACUGAGACACGGCCCAAACUCCUACGGGAGGCAGCAGUAGGGAAUCUUCGGCAAUGGACGAAAGUCUGACCGAGUAACGCCGCGUGAGUGAAGAAGGUUUUCGGAUCGUAAAACUCUGUUGGUAGAGAAGGACGUUGGUGAGAGUGGAAAGCUCAUCAAGUGACGGUAACUACCCAGAAAGGGACGGCUAACUACGUG